rnacentral:rRNA from 1 species
GACGAACGCUGGCGGCGUGCUUAACACAUGCAAGUCGAACGAAAAGGCCCUGCUCUUGCUGCGUUCUCGAUUGCCGAACGGGUGAGUAACACGCGUGUAACCCCCCCUUGUCUUUGGGAUAACUUCAGGAAACUGGGGCUAAUACCGGAUAGGAGCUCUUGCUGCAUGGUGGUGGUUGGAAAGUUUCGGCGGUGGGGUAUGGACUCGCGGCUUAGCAGCUUGUUGGUGGGGUUGGGGCUUACCAAGGUUUUGACGGGUAGCCGGCCUGAGCGGGUGACCGGCCACAUUGGGACUGAGAUACGGCCCAGACUCCUACGGGAGGCAGCAGUGGGGAAUAUUGCACAAUGGGCGGAAGCCUGAUGCAGCAACGCCGCGUGCGGGAUGACGGCCUUCGGGUUGUAAACCGCUUUCGCCUGUGACGAAGCGUGAGUGACGGUAAUGGGUAAAGAAGCACCGGCUAACUACGUG